rnacentral:rRNA from 1 species
UAAGGAAUAUUGGUCAAUGGACGCAAGUCUGAACCAGCCAUGCCGCGUGAAGGAUGAAGGUCCUCUGGAUUGUAAACUUCUUUUAUCUGGGACGAAAACGGGAUUUUUAUCUCAAUUGACGGUACCAGAGGAAUAAGCACCGGCUAACUCCGUGCCAGCAGCCGCGGUAAUACGGAGGGUGCGAGCGUUAUCCGGAUUUACUGGGUUUAAAGGGUGCGUAGGUGGGCUUAUAAGUCAGUGGUGAAAUCUCCGAGCUUAACUUGGAAACUGCCGUUGAUACUAUAGGUCUUGAAUUAUCUGGAGGUAAGCGGAAUAUGUCAUGUAGAGGUGAAAUGCUUAGAUAUGACAUAGAACACCAAUUGCGAAGGCAGCUUACUACAUAUAAAUUGACGCUGAGGCACGAAAGCGUGGGGAUCAAACA